rnacentral:lncRNA from 15 species
CGACACAAACAUAUUACUGACUGAGCACGUUUAACUAAAUACAGACCAACAUAAAGCCAAUUACCCCCGACACAAACCCACAACAGUUACAGAGUUACAUAUGUAAAUUAGUGUUUGGCUGUGCAGCCAAUGACUGAACUGUUUGUCUGCUGAGGACAUUAGGCUGCUUUCCAUUUGUCUGCAGGCUGCAGGCUGGACUUGCUCAUUCUCCGCUAGCUUGCCUUUUAUAGUAACAAGGCGGAGCUCCGAUAGUCAACAGGAAGUAAAGAGAGGUGGAUGGCAACAGGGAGAGCAUGUGAGUCACAAACUACACACUUCUGAACCUGUGUGAUUUCUCUCCUAUAUUCUGACUGAGGCAGCCCACAAAAACAUGACUGAGUCAUUUUUUCCCACACUUUGCUGCUGAUAGGCCCUCCAGAGUCCCAAAUGUACAUAAUAAAAUGAUUAAAAAGUUGGUUUUGCAUAAUAUGUCCCGUUUAACUUGCAUGUGUGAAGAGCUGUGCCAUCUCUUGUGGUAUUACUGCGAUCCUCCUCCCCAUGGCUGGAAGUUAUUUUAAAAGACAAAGCACUUCCUUAUUUGUCACAUCUCAGAAUGGAUCACAUGUAUGUGUGUGCUGUUUUCCUGGUGUGUCUGUGUCAACUGCAAGGGUCCAGUGCUGUGACUCCUGUGNNNNNNNNNNNNNNNNNNNNACGUUUUUACUGUUGUGUGGAACUUCAAUAAAACAGACGUUUUAGUUACAUUUUCACCUGGUAGAGAACCAACAGUCUCUCCUGCUUACACUGGAAGAGUUGAGUUUUCUGUGAAUGAUUAUUCUCUGAAAGUGAAGAAUCUACAAGAGGCAGACAGUGGAGUUUAUACUGCACGAGUGACAAGCCCUACAAAAGAACAAACAACUGAAUACAACGUCACAAUUCAAGAUUCUGGACCACCCCACAACGACAUCAAUGUCAUUGUCAUUGUCAUUGUGCUUGUUACCAUUGCAGUUCUCUGCAUUAUUGCAGUCUCUGCAGUUUGUUAUCGUCGAAAGAGAAGAAAAUGUAAGUCCAAGUGUGCAUUGUAACAUAGAAUUACAACAUAAAAUGUAUAAAAUCCUAUUUGUUUAGUGCACAGCCUUCUAGUGAUCCUAAAAGUGGGUGGAUCUUUAUGGUUUAGCCCAUUCACUCUUAGCAUCCCCAGGACAGAUCUCAGGUGAGAUCCCAAGAGGAAGGAAAUGGGUUAUCAGUGCACAAUUCUGGUUGCCAAAGCACCUUUUUUGAUACAAGCUAUUCCUACAACUAUCAAUCAGUAUCAAUGUUGCAUCACAAUAAAUACAAAUCCUAAAUAUGGAAGCUAAAUAUGAAGCUUUAAAUCCAAAAUUUGCCUGCUAAAAAUGAAAU